rnacentral:lncRNA from 13 species
CAUGGAGAAAAGGCAGCUGCAGUUACUCUUUGACAGAGGCCUAAAGUGGGCGCAUGCUCAGCUGAGAGAGAGAUUUAACUUGCCUGUCUCUUUCAUUGAGGACGUGGACUCUCAUCUCCUAGCAGCAGGCAAGAGGGAGGAUAAUCAGGAAGACCCCACACGUGGUGCCUCUCCAGUAUGGGCAUCGGAGCCAGCGGCACUAAGCCCAACAGACAGAGCUAGAGAAGCCGAAGCUACAACCUCCUCCUGCAGGAUUUCUUCACUCAGUGACAUGGCCAGAUGCCAUGUCAUGAAAACCCUUUGGUGUUCUGUGAAGAAGCUCACGUGAAGAGCAGCUGAGGUCUCCUGUCAACAGCCAUGCGAGUGAGCCAUCUUGGAAGCGGAUCUGCCUGCCCCAGCCUUCUGAUGACUGCAGCCCACUGGCUACAGCUUCUCUGCAAUGCCAUGAGAGGCUCUCAGCCAGAAUCUCCCAGCUAAGCCACUCUUGGUUUCCCCACCCUCAGAGAAUGUGAGAUAAAUGUUUGCUUUUUUAAGCAUCCUGUUUCCGAGUAGUGUAGCAACAAGUAUCUGAUGCAGGAGCCUAUCCAUAACCAAUGACCGAGAAAGGCUAUCAAAUGUCACUUCCUGAAUGGAGCCAGUGAGUCAAGUGCUAGACUAUUCAUUACUUAGUCAUGGAUUUGGAUUUGAUUGUAUGCUGUAAAAAAAAAAGCUAUUUAUUGGUCUUGCUUCUUAGCAUCAGCUAAUUAGUGACAUUCACUCCAUUUUGAUGUAUUGCUUAAAAUAUACAUAUCUAUAUAUAAAUAUACAAGAGCAGAUUCAACAUCUAACCUUGCCAUUUCUUCUUUCUUUCUUUUUUCCCUCCCUCCCUCUCUCUUUGUCUCUCUUUCUUUUCUUUCGACAGAAUCUCACUCUGUCACCCAGGCUGCAGUGCAGUAGCAUAAUCUCAGCUCACUGCAGCCUCUACCUCCCAGGUUCCAGUGAUUCUCCUGCCUCAGCCUCCUGAGUAGUUGGGAUUACAGGUGCAUGCCACCAUGCCCAGCUAACUUUUGUCUUUUUAGUAGAGACUGGGUUUCACCAUUUUGCCCAGGCUGGUCUCAAACGCCUGAGCUCAAUUGAUCCACCCACCUCGGUCUCCCAAAGUGCUGGGAUUACAGGCAUGAGCCACCGCUCCUGGCCAUCAAUUCUUAUUAUUGUAAUAAAUCCCUUCAUUCAGGGAGUUCA